ACAGCGAUCAGUAUGCGCGCGAGCUUGCGGGAGGCGGACGUAUUUACUUGGUGGACACUUUUUCGUUGGCGCGCAAAAUGUCUGAUUGGUCAGCAACUACGAUUCUGACAUUUUUGGAGGCUUAUCAAAAUGAGCCAUGUCUCUGGAAUUCCAAAGAUGCCGAUCACAAAAAUCGGCAAAAGGUUAAUGAUGCAUGGUCUCGCCUCAGCAUUAUAAUGAACAAAAGCGUCAAGGAAUUGAAGACCAAAAAAGAAAUACUUAUGGUUACGUUCCGCAGACAUCUGAAGAAAAAAAAAGAUUCUAUUCGGUCCGGUGCAGGAUUCGAUGAUGUUUAUACACCGGUCUGGUUUGCUUAUGACCUGAUGGAGUCAUUUUUAGGACCGUUAUAUACCUGCUCAAAUAACGUAAAUUCAGAGGAAAACAAAUAUGAGAACUAUACAGAGGUGGUCUAUCUAGAAGACCCAAUAGAGAGUCAAGAAGAGAGAGUUCUGAAGGAGGUUCAACCGAAGGGGCUGAAAAGACCUAGAAACGACGCAUCUGAGGCAGAAAUCAGCGAUUUUGGAUUAUACGUAACAAGUUUAUUGAGAGAUCUACCGAGGGAUGUGUGUGCGCAGCUGCAAUUAAAUAUAGUUGAUUUAAUAGUUAAAGCGAAACUAGAAGAAACCGGACCAGAUAUUAGUAUGGAGGUAGAUCGUGGAAAAGAUCCAAUGGAAAAUGAGAACCAACAAAACACCAACACAACCUACCAACCAGAAAACUUAGAAAUAUCAACGGAAAGCCAAAAAGAUAGGGAUAUAAACCCUAACACAACUCCAAAAAAACGGACGAAGCUAAAAAAUGACGCAGCACAUGAGGAUAUAAUUGAAAAUUUCGGAAAAUAUGUCGUAUGCCUGUUAAAAACUUUCCCGCGAACAGAUACCAAUACGAAACUUCAGAAGGACAUUGUUGAUCUCAUAAUGACAGCUCGGCUACAGACUAUGAAAAAUAGAUUGACAGAUAGCACCAUAGAUAAAUUAGGAAUCCGACGGGAUUUAUUUGUAGAAAUAAAAUAGCGUUCUAUAUUCAAAUUGUUUUAUUUAUUGUUUGCUCUGUGUUCGAAUAAAAUUUGUACGAAACUUCAAAGGGCAUUGCUCAGCUACCUCUGACUCCGACGACUCCACCACCCUGGACCCUGAGAGUGAGCUGUGGGGAUUCUACGACAAGGAGUCAAGGAAUCGAGCCAAAUGCUCCAUGUGUGGGGUUAUCAUAAACAGACAUCCAGAUACCCUGUACCAACAUUUAAAGGAGGAACAUUCGAAAGUAUCAAAGACAUUAGAAUUCAACGAUCGCGAUGAGAAUUAUACAGAAAUAAUUUACUUAGAAAACCCUCCGAACGAAAAAGAGCGGCCGGUGAAAAGAAAACGGAGAGAGAAAAAAGAACAAUACGACGAUUUGGAAGACUUCGGGAAAUAUGUUGUUGGUCUGUUGAAGGGAAUACCGGAAGAACAAUGCACGGAACUGCAAAUGUCAAUUGUCAAUUUGAUUAUGACAGCUAAGAAGAGCGUGAAGGACGAUGAUGUGUUGGAGAGGGAAGAAAGUAUUGAACAGGUACAAGAGCCCACGAAACCAGAAUCGGAAGACCCCAUUACCCACGAACAGAAAGAAACAAAGGACACACGAGAAAAACCAAGGAAACGCUACAACGACCUCGGCUCAACAGAUAACGAUGACCAUAUAUCGAAUUUCGGCAAAUACCUCACCAGUCUGAUGAAAUUGUUGAACAAGGAAACCAGCGCUGAAGUCCAAUUGAAUAUUGUCAAUCUAAUAAUCGGUACCAAGUUGCAAUGUCUGCGAAAAACUAAAAAUAAAUUCAUGGAAAUACAAACAAAAUUAUUGCUUGCUGAAUCGUAGUAAACAUAUUGUUUAGAAAUAAAUAUUUUGUUAUAUC